rnacentral:lncRNA from 1 species
AAAACAUAAACAUUAAGGCACUAGGAAAGCCAUGAAUUCCCUGAGGAGGUCACGCUCUGCUGUUUUCAGGGACCUAUCCGUGGGCUGCUGUAAGGAGAUUUAAUUUAAACUACAUUUCUCUUGCCUUUCUUUCCCUCAUCAGAGAAUAUGGAUAUAGGUCAAUUAUUGCUUAAGAAAUGUAGUUAAUCUGUUAGUCUGGCAGGGAUUUAGGAGCUAAGACCCUGGAUGGUUUGUGUGUGUGUGUUUCUAUUUUCAUUUUUCUUAAGGAAAAAGAUGAAAUCUAGUUCUUGGUAGGAAAAGUUGAAUGUUAAGAACUGUGGGCACAUCUACCCAUAUCCACCUGCACACCUACCUUCUUUCCACAACCCACCCCGCAUCACACACACGUUGAGUGACAAAGAAGCAUCAUGUGGGUUUGGGCCUUAUAGAAUGAAGGGAAAUAAAUCCCAACUGGAUCCCCCAACAUCUCUUUCUAAUUAACUGUAUUAGCUAAAUAUUGAUGUUUCAUGUAUCCAUUUCCCCUACAGGAAAAGGGAGCCCAAGUCGUGGAUCAUGACCUGUGAGAAGACAUAUAAGAGAGGAUCAGAAUGAUUGCCUUUUAGGCUUCCCAACAAGCAGAAGUUUAAUGGGAACGUCCACCUUGAUGGACUUCAGGGGCCUCUGUGGUGGUCGAGCUGACAGAUGGACAGCCAGGAAAGCCUGCAUCUGUUUGGAGAAUUCAUGAGCCCUUGCCCAAGGAAGAGAUGCACAUUGUCCAUGUGAACAAUAUGGAGCCUCAACUCAGCCAUCUCUGCUUCCAGGGAGCUUCAGAGCACAUAUGGAAGCGGUAUCAUUUUUCUUCAGUGCCAGGCUUGGUAUUGACUUUUUUAAGUUGGUUCGAAUUCACUCUGUAGCGAUCUAUAUAAAGAGAAAGCAUCAGGAGAAUGGAAAUGAACAUACAGAUGAUACACAGAUGUGAAAGAUGCAUGAGAGUGCACAGGACCAGGUUUGAACAGAGAACUUCCUCUCCUGGGGGAAUAUCCAGCCAGAAUGUUUCAUGUUGCAAAGGGCAAACACAGAAGAUCAGGGACUGUCAUGUUCCGGCACUGGUAAAGCAGCAGCCUGCUUCUCCCAGCGGUGAGCUCCCAGCUCUGAGGGACUGACAUUAUUUGGGACAAAG